AAUGUGAUCUGUUCAUGUAGUUCUCAUUUUUUUGAGCUACAACACAGAGUGAUCAAAGCAAGCUCCCGCUCUGAAAGAUUAUUGUUGCCCUUAAUCACACACGCUAUUGCUAUCCUUAUUUUUGUCUGAUUUAUUGGCUGACUGGGCAAGGGUAAAAUAGCAGCUCAAUGUGCACACGGGGCUAUGAAGGCAUACCUCAUUUCGCCAGAGACCAUCAGAGAAUCAUGGCAGUUCUAUGGUCAGCCUACCAUUAUAACCCAAGUGGAAACCCUGGAACAUCUCAAACAAUUGUUCGAGAAAGGAAAAACUUUGGGUUUGUCAGUUGCUAUAAUUAGAGAUGCGGGAAGGACUCAAGUCGCUCGGGGAUCGGAAACAGUGGUCGCUAUUGGGCCAGGACCUGUCAGUUUAGUCGAUCAAGUCACUCAAAAGCUUCCUUUGAUGAAAUAAAACUAAAAUUUUCUUUGUUUGGCCAGAUACAUGUAGCUGUUAAAUUAAUCAACUUUUUUUUGCUGCUUUUGAAGUAUUAUUAAUUUUUAUUUUGUACUUCGGACUUUUUAAGAAAUAGUUUUUACUUCGUGAA